UAUUUUUUAAAUUGGUAUUUAUUAAGUCAACGCUGCAGAGGGAUUUUAUACUGAAGUUUGUUAGGUUUUACAAAGCGCUUUUAUUCGUUUGGAGACACGGAGAGACAUUCCACCUGGUUCCUACUGUACAAGCCAACGGAGUGUAAAGAAAAGGGUGCUGUGUUAUCAGUGGGAUGGUAGACGGUUGGAGUAGAGUCUAGGUUGAAGGAGCAUGGUGAAGCACCAACCCCUGCAGGUUUAUGAGAGACAGCUCUGUUUGUCCUGUCUAACUGGGAUCUACGGCUGCCGGUGGAAACGCUACCAGCGCUCUCAUGAUGAUACCACUAAGUGGGAAUGUAUGUGGACCCUCGUUCUGUUUGGGACGUUUGCGCUGUUAUUGGUGUGGUUUUAUUUCUGGUGGGAAGCAAACAAUGACUACAGCGAAUUUAACUGGUAUUUGUAUAACCGAUCCGGGGAGUGGAGUGAUGGAACUGUUCCCAUACUCGCUGCUACAGCUGCAGGCUUCACCUAUAUUACAUUUUUAAUGAUUUUAGCUCUGUGUCACAUAGCAGUUGGACAGCAGCUGAACCUGCACUGGCUUCAUAAGAUUGGAGUGACCACAGCUCUACUGACCACUAUUAUCGGAGUGAUAUCAGUCAGUCAGAUAUGGGGCGAGGAAUGGGACAUCAUCUCCAUCUCUCUUCAAGCAACAGGACCAUUCCUGCACAUCGGUGCCCUGGCUGCAGUUACAGCUCUGGCGUGGCUGGUGGCUGGACAGGUGGCUCAAGCUGAGAAGACCAAAUUUCAGGUUAUGAUUCUGGUCAUCUACCUGGCUGUGCUGCUGAGCCUCUACCUGACCCCCCUGUCCAUCUCCUCACCCUGCAUCAUGGAGCGCCACAAUCUCCCAGCACGCCCUGCUGUAAUUGCCCAUCAUGGAGCUCCCAUGAUGGCUCCAGAGAACACACUGCUGUCCUUCCAGAGAGCUCUGAGGAUGAAUGUUAGUGGGCUGCAGGCUGAGAUGGCGAUCAGUGUAGAUGGAGAGCCCUUCCUGAUAAGAGAUCGCACACUGAGAAGAACCACUGAUGUGAGCAAAGUUUUUCCAGAGAGACAGUAUGAAGACGCCUCGUUUUUCAACUGGACUGAACUGCGCUCUCUUAAUGCUGGCCAGUGGUUUCUGAAGGAUGACCCAUUCUGGAUGGUACAGUUCAUGUCUGACCGGGAGCUCUGGUUAAUAGGAAAUCAGACGCUGUGCAGUCUGGAACAAAUGCUGCAGCUGGCCGCCAGCCACAAUCGCUCGGCUCUUUUUACAGUCCACAGACCUCCACCUGGGCACCCCCACCGCCUGAGCUGGGUCAACCUCACCCUGGCCACCGUGCUGCGCUCGGGUAUUCCUCAGCACCUGGUUGUGUGGAGCGUGGACUCAGACAGAGAGCUGGUAAAACAACGAGCGCCAGGUUUCCAGCAAAUCUCCACAAUGAAGCAGCCGUUAAGAAAUCUUCAUCAGCAGGGCAUCAGCAGACUUCUGCUACGCUACAACCACGUCUCUGCUCAGGAAGUUCGGACGUAUGCAGAUGGAAACGUGAGUGUGACUCUGUACACUGUGAAUAAGCCCUGGCUGUAUUCUGUACUGUGGUGUAGUGGGGUUCACUCUGUCUCCUCUGAAGCACCCCAGGUCCUUAAAAAGGUGCUGUCACCCCUCUGGCUUAUGAGUCCACAUGAAUACUGUUUGGUUUGGGUGGCCACAGAUCUCACCUCCUUUAUCCUGAUACUUGGAGUUUUUGUAUUUCAAAAGUGGAGGAUGAGUGGCAUGCGUAGCUACAACCCUGAGCAGAUCAUGCUAAGCGCUGCAGUCAGCAGAUCCAGCCGGGACGUCAACAUCAUGAAGGAAAAGCUCAUCUUUUCUGGUCAGCCGCAGUAGCAGUUUAACCCCGACUGUGACCCACUGUACCAUCCCACCUUCAUCCCAUUUCACCUACCCAUUCUUCCCCCUCGCUGUCUUUCACUGCCUGCUGCCAUCUCUGCAUCUUUCCAUCCACCGCUGACAUCCCUCACCUCCAAUCAUAGCUCUGGUCUGCAUAAUGGAGCUGUGCUGUGUAAUGCUCAUGAGGUAAGCGAUGGGGUCUGCAGUGAGGAAAAUGGGUAUGACUGCUACACCAAUUGAAACAUUCACUGAUCUUGCUGGAUCUCCACACCAACUGGGUGAAAGACAACGUACCACUGGCUGAAUUGCUUUUAUUUCUUUUUUCCCCUAUCUUGAAGUCCUGAAUGUACUGUGUUGCUAAAGGAAUGACUGCUGUGUAUAUUAUGUACAGAUUGUUUUGUAAUUUUCUGUGUAAUAACUCGAUGAAAUGAAUUUGUGUGUGGCCUCAGCCUUGUUUAGAGCUCGGGGUGGCUGGUACAUCCAUCAUUUACUUUACUCAUAUGCAUUCCUGUAAUCUAAUCCUGCAUCAUAAAGGACUCACUCUUCACCCAAGACAUGAACAGAAUGUGAGGAAUAUUUGUGUGUGUGUGUGUGUGGGCAUGAGAAAUCCACUGUAUUGCCAUUUGGCAGGGCUAAAAUGACUUCUAAAUGUUUACAGUGCCUAUAUGCUUCAUUCAUGUGAAUUAUAUAAAGUAUGUGAAUUUUCAUAGACACCUAUUUCCCUUUUCUGAGAAUAAAUUCAUUUUAACAGUCA